CGAGAGUGACAACAGAUCCUCUGUACUGCUUUCGAAAUCAAGGAGAGGAGAACCGUUGAGACCGAAGCGCCGACGAGACAGAAGCCCUGGCGAGUGAGAAGCGACGUCACGAGAGAAUCGCCGUGGAGAGAGAUCCACCGUCGAGAGAGAAUCGCACUGUCAAUCGCCUUCUCAAUCGCCCUCGCGAGAUAACCGACACACACAAACUGAAAGACAGACUCAAUUCUAUUUUGCCCUAAAAAUCAUCGGCCAUUCCCAAC
rnacentral:lncRNA from 1 species